CAGUAUAACACACUUGAGAUGACAAUUAUUUACAUUUUUCCAGACCAUUGAAUUUGUAAGGACUUAACUUCCGGUAAAUUUUCGGUUUUUAGGAUGUAAAUGUAACUGUGGCAUCUGAUUGGUCAAGAUUUUUCUGGUUUCCUGUUUUCUGUUUACAAGUUACCAGAUCAAAUACCAAAGCGAAAGUUGACAUAAACACAGCAAGUUUUCCAAGAGCAUUUGGAAAAAAGUGACCAAAUACAUGUUACAACUGAACCUGUAAGCACUGACCAGACUUCUACCUCAGGAGUUCAAUGUUCUAAAGCUAGUUUACAAACAACACCAUGCACCACCAAAGUAAGAAGGAAGCGAAAAUCUACCUUUAUGAGCAAGAAGAAGAUAUCUAAGAAAGUGGUAAUACAGGAGGACGCAUUGACUAAAUGUUCAAUAUGUAAUAUUAUUUAUGAGGAUGGAGAUGAGCAUAAUGAGUGGAUAGCAUGUGAUUUGUGCGAUUUAUGGUACAACAGACAGUGUUCACAAAUAAGUGAUGAAUUGUGGGAAAAGAUUGGUGACAGUGACUGGUAUUGUCCAAAAUGUUUCCAAUAGAAAAAAUUGAAGGUCUGAAAUCUUUGAAGAAUGAAACCAGUAAGCUUGUAUGUUGUAAGAACUGAAGAACGCCUUUCAUUUCCUCCUGACAUGCUGCAUUUAGACUACUAGUAUA